GACGAACGCUGGCGGCGUGCUUAACACAUGCAAGUCGAGCGGAAAGGCCCUUCGGGGUACUCGAGCGGCGAACGGGUGAGUAACACGUGAGUAACCUGCCCCAGACUUUGGGAUAACCCUCGGAAACGGGGGCUAAUACCGGAUACGACACAGCUUCGCAUGGGGUCUGUGUGGAAAGUUUUUCGGUUUGGGAUGGGCUCGCGGCCUAUCAGCUUGUUGGUGGGGUGAUGGCCUACCAAGGCGACGACGGGUAGCCGGCCUGAGAGGGCGACCGGCCACACUGGGACUGAGACACGGCCCAGACUCCUACGGGAGGCAACAGUGGGGAAUAUUGCACAAUGGGCGGAAGCCUGAUGCAGCGACGCCGCGUGAGGGAUGACGGCCUUCGGGUUGUAAACCUCUUUCAGCAGGGACGAAGCGUAAGUGACGGUACCUGCAGAAGAAGCGCCGGCCAACUACGU
rnacentral:rRNA from 1 species